rnacentral:rRNA from 1 species
CACGUAGGGCGCAAGCGUUGUCCGGAAUUAUUGGGCGUAAAGAGCUCGUAGGCGGUCUGUUGCGUCCGCUGUGAAAACUCGGGGCUUAACCCCCGAGCCUGCAGUGGAUACGGGCAGACUAGAGGUAGGUAGGGGAGAAUGGAAUUCCCGGUGUAGCGGUGAAAUGCGCAGAUAUCAGGAGGAACACCGGUGGCGAAGGCGGGUCUCUGGGCCGAUAUUGACGCUGAGGAGCGAAAGCGUGGGGAGCAAACAGG